GGGCGACAUCGAAGUUCGACGCGUUCGCGACGGCGGCAUUGCACGUGCUCGGGCACCCCGAGCUCGCGUACGCGGGGCCCGCCCAGUCCCCACACACGGUGAUGUCGAAGAUGAGGUUCUGUGCGAGGAAGUGGCUCAUGAUGUCGCACUGCGUGUUCGGGAAGAACGCCGUGGGCGUGCCCCAGCUCGACGGGUCGGGCUUCUUGUUGGUGAUGUCG
rnacentral:misc_RNA from 1 species